rnacentral:lncRNA from 1 species
UACAAAUAUAUAUAUAUAUAUAUAUAUAUAUAUAUAUAUAUAUAUAUAUAUAUAUAUAUAUAUAGAUAUAUAUAUACAAAUAUCUUUUGAGACCGAAUUAGAGGCAUACUCAUUAAACAAUGAACUAAUAUAAGUAUGAACCUCUUUUUCAAUAAUUGUCCCACUAUCUCCAAACAUCCUCUUAAGUACAAAACUAACCGUACUAAACUUGUAGCGAG